UGUCAUCAGCUGCCAUAUACAGAAGAAAACCACUUUCCCUAAUUGUCAAAUAGAUGCGUACAUCUUUGAAACGGACCAGCAUAAGCAAUACUGUGUGGAUCCAACUGCUGAGUGGCUCCCGAGGAGACUUAAGAGGUUAGAACAGAGAGGAAUAAAAUGUACAGACCUUUAACAAAGCCUUCAAUAACCAAGAUGAGGAUGAUGCAACAUGACCUUCUGAGCAGAAUGGUGGCGCUAAUUUCUGUUAAACUUUUCUAACUUUGAUCAAAUGUUUUACUUUCUCUAUUUUUCAAUACAUAUUAACAAGUGGCUUGGCAAAAAUCUUACUAUCUUAUAAGCAAAUUAAA